CCUACGGGGGGCAGCAGUGAGGAAUAUUGGUCAAUGGGCGAGAGCCUGAACCAGCCAAGUCGCGUGAGGGAGUACUGCCCUAUGUGUUGUAAACCUCUUUUGUCGGGGAGCAAAAGCCGGACGUGUCCGGCUGUGAGAGUACCCGAAGAAAAAGCAUCGGCCAACACCGUGCCAGCAGCCGCGGUAAUACGGAGGGUGCGAGCGUUAUCCGGGUUUUUUGGGUUUAAAGGGUGCGCAGGCGGAUUUUUAAGUCAGCGGUAAAAGCGUGGGGCUCAACCCCAUCCAGCCGUUGAAACUGGGGAUCUAGAGUGUGCGAAAGGUAUGCGGAAUGCGUGGUGUAGCGGUGAAAUGCAUAGAUAUCACGCAGAACCCCGAUUGCGAAGGCAGCAUACCGGUGCACAACUGACGCUCAGGCACGAAGGCGUGGGUAUCGAACAGGAUUAGAUACCCUGGUAGUC
rnacentral:rRNA from 1 species